GUGGGGAAUAUUGGACAAUGGGCGAAAGCCUGAUCCAGCCAUGCCGCGUGUGUGAAGAAGGUCUUCGGAUUGUAAAGCACUUUAAGUUGGGAGGAAGGGCAGUAAGUUAAUACCUUGCUGUUUUGACGUUACCGACAGAAUAAGCACCGGCUAACUUCGUGCCAGCAGCCGCGGUAAUAGGAAGGGUGCAAGCGUUAAUCGGAAUUACUGGGCGUAAAGCGCGCGUAGGUGGUUUUGUAAGUUGGAGGUGAAAUCCCCGGGCUCAACCUGGGAACUGCCUCCAAAACUGCAUGACUAGAGUACGGUAGAGGGUAGUGGAAUUUCCUGUGUAGCGGUGAAAUGCGUAGAUAUAGGAAGGAACACCAGUGGCGAAGGCGACUACCUGGACUGAUACUGACACUGAGGUGCGAAAGCGUGGGGAGCAAACAGGAUUAGAUACCCGUGUAGUCC
rnacentral:rRNA from 1 species